CGUUCAUGCGUGGGUAAAGGGUGGGAAGGAGAGUGAAAAUUACUUGGAAGUUUCACUAAAGUUUCUUCAGCAUUUGGCCUAUUUUUCCAUGGAAAUUUUGGCCACAUAUCACCAUCAUAGGCCCACAAAGUUUUCCAACGUUGUCUCUUCUAAUUGAGAUGAAAGAAAAGGUUGGAAUUCAUGUAAACUACUGAAUCCGAAUUGUGAAGUUGAUUAUCGUAGCUUUUUUCCAUGGAGAUUGAGUUCAUUUCCUUAUCAAGUGGUCCCUCUAUCUCUUCCAAGUCCAUCUCCAUUAAAUACCAAGGAAAUUGAGGUGAAAUUGUAGGAGAGACUUCUUGAGUUUUUUCUAACCCUUCCUUUACUCAAUGUAUGAAAAUCCAAAGCUGGAAGACAUUCAUGUCUUCCUCCUCGGAUUAGACCUUUCAAGUUUUUUUCUAUCCCUUCAUUUACUCAAUGUAGAUCAUGCAACUGAUUAAUUGAGUUUUUUCUAAGCCAGAGAUUAUAUAUACCCACGCACCCAUCCAUCCGCUUACCCACACACUCAGAGAUGACAUCAAAAAUGCACUUCCCUUCAUCGACAUCAUCAUCAUCUUCCCUUAUCACCAUUUUCUUCAUGCUCUGGAUUAUAAUCUCCCUGUUCCUUCUUGGGGACUCGGCUGUCAUGCCUAUGAAAGGGUUUCGAGCUAGACUCCCUAAAACUCCCAACAAACUUCCGAGCUAUCGAGGGUUGAGAGGACCUUUUGGGUGAGGGUCGCAACUAGCCUUGCCUAAAUCCGGGCAUGUGGCUUUUCGACUUCGGCUUCCUUUUCGUGACAUGAACGAUCCUCUACUCAACGGGAGGAUAGUGACAUGCAAAGGAAUCACCGCUCUGACGCCCUCACUUGUGGCUCUCCUUACUAGAAGGUGGCCGCUCUAGUCGAUCUGGAUGAGCAUGAUCAUGGGCAGAUAUGAUUCCCCCUUAGAAGACUCUGACAAUCUCUUUCAUUCUGCCAACCUCGCUAAUCACGGUUUUCCCCUCAAGUCUCCAUUGAAUUGAUUUUUUCAGCCGCGUUGAACCGCUUGAUUCUCUAUUUCCCCUGUUGUUCCUUGACCGAGAAUCUCCAGAAUAUGUGCAGGGAAGCCAUGCUAAUCAAGCCGGACAAGGGUGUGAGUCCUCUUAUUACUCCAUAUCCUGAACCUUUCCAUCAUGUUGUCUGCCUCUAGAAGGGUUUAUACACCUAUUCAUCAUUCGUCAUAUAUCAUAUUACACUUGCUUGAAAGCAUUACAACCGUAAUUCAAUGGAUAUUCUCUAAUCAUAUAAUCAAGUAACAUGUCGAAUUUCGCUUGUGUGUCCAAACGAUUAACGAUACUUUAUGAAAUUUCAUCUCCACAAAUGCCGUAUGUGCUUAUGUGUAAUUUCUUAUUAUAGUAAGAAUUAGUAACAAAAUCUUGGUGCUCUAUACCAACACUGUUCAUGUACUUAUUUGCGUAGCAUGGUUGCAAUAACUUGGUCAAUAAAGUUUUUUUUAUAGUUAAAUAUGUGGGAAAAAAUCAUGGUGAUUUCAUUAUUUUGUCAAUAAUUUCUCUGUACUAUUCAAAUUAGUUACAAAAUAAACAAAUGUGUAUCCCGUGAUUAAUUUUGUUUGUAUCCCAUUACUAAUAGAGUCUCAAACUGAGGAUGGGGCGUGGUUAUGAGCUAUAAAAAAUUAGUCUUGCAUUCUCAAUAGAAAAAGAAAAAGAAAAAGUAGAAAAGGACAGUCUCGCAUCAUCUACUUAACCGAGAAUUAAUUUCUUUUCUUCUAGCGAGACUCAUUCCUUCAUUUAUCUCUAUUUAAAACAUGGUUGCAGACGUACCAUCAAUGCUUGAUCAACCUUGAUCAGACAUCUAUUGAGAAAACUUCUACCAGGUUUUGAAGUUAAUAAAACUUUCUAGUUCUUAUUCUUAAUUUGAAGAACAUAAUACUUCUGAAGUUAUAUCGAAAACUUUUGCCAAAGUCUAUUCAUUCCAGAAGUAUUUCCCACUCUGUCGCGAUCCAGACCGAAACUGUGUCCAGAAUGAGGAUGAAAUCAGACUCAGAUUUAUUGAUCUUGCGACAAGAAUUCAGAAUGAAUGCAUUAGGAAUUUAUUCUAUAGCAUCUAACUAUUUGGCGAAGAAUCUCACUUUCCUUCUAUAAAUACAAUGAUGAAAUCAAUCACAAAUUGAUGAAGUCAAUCUUGAAGACAAAUUCUUUUUUGGAAAGCGACUACUUAUGGAAACCUAGAUUCUGAUUGUAUGAACGAUCAGAAUCAUCGGAUUUUCAUUUCAAUCUUCAAACGGCUUCAAGAUCUUCUUAGUCGAUUCUGUCCAACGGAUUGAUUGGAAAAAAUUCCUUCAGAAAAUACCAAUAGCUAGUGAGGCGUGGAUGAGUAUUUAAGGAGAUCAUUCAGUCUAUUUGAAGUGGACGUGAAAAUUGAAAUUCUAAAGUUCGAAGUCUUUUCAACUACUUGUUCUUCUUUGACGGUCUUUAUAUGUUCUUCUCUGACAGUCUUUAUAAAUUGUAUUCAAGAAAGAAAGUCACAAGAAGAGUGACUUAGGGCGGGCAUAACAAAAUUUCUGAAAUAGAAAUCAAUUUCUAUUCCAUGGACGAGUUUCUGAGUAAAGAAACAUGUUUAAUAACGAUUCAAAAUUUUUAUUUCUGGAAUAAAAAUUCGUUUGAUAAGAGAAUAAAAUUUCUAUUUCUAGGAGCGAAGACGGCUGACGUUCGGUGGCCGGAGUUUGACGUCUGGUGACUGGUAGUGGGCAGUCGGAGUUUGGAGUCUGGCGUCCGGUGUCUGGCAUCCGACAUCUAGCGUCCGAAGCUCCACGUUUAGCGUCCGACCAACUGGCGUUCGACGUCCAGCGUCCGACGUAUGGAGUUUUGCGACCGGUGGUUGGCAGCGGGUGGCCAAUGGUCGUAGUUCGAUCGGCAAUCGGGCGGAUGUCCGGUGGUUGGUAGUGGGUCUCCAACGUCUAGCGGUUGGUGAUGAGCGGCUAAUGACCAGUGGGCAUCCGGCAUCCGGCGGCCAACGGUCGGCAAUGGGUGGCUGGAGUCCCGUGGUUGGCGGCCAGUGGAGGGUGGUUAGUGGCGAGUAGGUGGCGACUGACGGUGGGCAUGCAGCAUCCCACGGGCAAUGGGUGGCCGAUGGGUGGUGACAAGAGUGGACGAUGAGGAAAGUUUUGAUUUCUCAUUUAUGUUCCAGAAAUAUAAAUUUUAAUUUUAACUUCUGAUUUUUACUCUAAAUCUAUUUUUGAAAUAGAAUUGUGUUCCAGAAAUUACAAAAAUAAAAUGAAAUUGUAUUAUUAAACGGAUUUCUGUUCUAAACCUGUUCCGGGGAACAGAAAAACAGAGAAAUAGAGAAAUAUAAAUAUUGUCAUGCGCGUCUUUAGUGAAAGAGAAGGGAUCUUCCACUCAGUAUUGGCACUCAAAAAUUAUACUUCUCUGUUGAUGCUAUAGUGAAUUUCAGCCAGAAGGUUGUCAGCGUGGGAGAGUGAAUGUAGGCUUGAUCUAAGCCGAACCAUUAUAAAUUUCGUGUGCAAUCUUCUUUUCCCUUGACUCUCUUUAUUUAAGUCUAUUGCAUUCUUUUAGAUAUCGCAAAAAUUAGUUCCAUCUCUUAUUUGAUUUUGAACAUUCAUUAGAAGUCCGGUAGCUUGUUUAUCAAACUUUGUUUGUUACUCAGACUUUCUUCGAAAUUUAUUUUAUUCCUCAUUUAUUUAUGAAAAUUUCUUUUAAACACUUAUUCAUCCCCUCUAGGUGUUCGUACUAGCAUUAUCAAUAACAUCUUGAUUGUUCUAGACACCAUCAAGGAAAAAACUUUGGGUCACUCGUGACCAUGGUAUAUAUGUAAUAUGUCAUAAUACUCUUGGCAUGUCUUGGCAUGGCAUAAUUAUUUCAGUUCCCGGUAUUCUGCACAUCAUCUUCUAGACAUUCUCAUGUGUAGACUUGUCUUGACGAUGAUGAAAUAUAAAGAUAUAAAUUCCAUAGUUUACUCUUAGAUAAUGUUCACCCGAGCAAAGACAUCUCAUCACCGUCUUGCGCCUUAGGAAGUGGAGCAAUUUCAUUGGUCCACUCAAGAAACCUCCUAUCUCAAUAGCUAGCUAUUCGGUGGCAUAACUAUUUAAAAAGUCUUAAUUAUAUUGUGCGUCGAUCAAUUCUGAUCUAAUUUUUUUUUGGGUAAUUUUCUGUUAUUCAGUUGCGAUUAGCAGGCUACUUAGUGCAAUAAGAAUAGCUUGGCACUCUAAGAGACCCAACUCAAAAGCAGCCAAAAAAAUGGGGUGCAUGAACAAGGCCGGCAAGCAAAAACAAUGCUAAUAGGUGCAACUAUGAUAGUGGUUACAUUGUAGUUGAUGGCGGCAAACCAUGAAUUCUAGCAUUGCCCGAGUCCAUUCUAAAAAUUCAGGGCCAAUUUACUUGACUUUUGUUUGCUGAGCUUCGGUAAACACCAACCUAUUUUAUCCUUUAAAAGCAAACGUACAUUAUAUAUAUACGAGGAGAAAGAGAUUUCUAAGAGAAAAUGUACAACAUAAUACAUAAAUGCAUUAGUCUAUAUGUUAUAUCAUUUGGAUGUACAACGUAAAGAAGAAGAUCCGUGUCGAGCAACACGGGUGUUGACAAAGAAAGGAUUUUUCACUUUGGACUUUUCCACCUAUCAUCUCAUCCUCUUACCUUCAUCGUUAGCAUGUAUUUCCAUGGAGUCGCAGGGAGGGAAACCUAAAUCCGUGCUCUGCCGGUCCUUAACAA